AUUGAACGCUGGCGGCAGGCCUAACACAUGCAAGUCGAGCGGAUGAAGGGAGCUUGCUCCUGGAUUCAGCGGCGGACGGGUGAGUAAUGCCUAGGAAUCUGCCUGGUAGUGGGGGAUAACGUCCGGAAACGGGCGCUAAUACCGCAUACGUCCUGAGGGAGAAAGUGGGGAAUCUUCGGACCUCACGCUAUCAGAUGAGCCUAGGUCGGAUUAGCUAGUUGGUGGGGUAAAGGCCUACCAAGGCGACGAUCCGUAACUGGUCUGAGAGGAUGAUCAGUCACACUGGAACUGAGACACGGUCCAGACUCCUACGGGAGGCAGCAGUGGGGAAUAUUGGACAAUGGGCGAAAGCCUGAUCCAGCCAUGCCGCGUGUGUGAAGAAGGUCUUCGGAUUGUAAAGCACUUUAAGUUGGGAGGAAGGGCAGCAAGUUAAUACCUUGCUGUUUUGACGUUACCAACAGAAUAAGCACCGGCUAACUUCGUG
rnacentral:rRNA from 1 species